rnacentral:lncRNA from 1 species
AGGCCUAGAGCUUGACCUCCUAGGAGGUGACGGGGAAAGCACACUAGGAGAUGCACUUCACGAUAUCAUUCUAUGGUGCAAACGUUACAUCAUCAUCAUCGUCCUCAGCUAGGAGGCAUCAUUUCUUCCCAUAGAUCCCCUGCAGCGACCAUCCCCUCAGAACUCAAGACCAUCAUCUCCAGCACAUCCACCUCAAGGACCAUCGUCACCACCGGGAAUGUUGCAUCCUGCUUGAUCACCAUCUCCAACAACAUCGAAUCCUGGAGGUGCAAGUGACGACGACCAAAACACCCCUCCCUGAUCACCGUCUGCAGUGCUGGGACUAAAGUCUGGUGCGAGCAAGGAACCUGCAGCACCUCUUAAGAAGUCAUGAC